GACGAACCGUGCGAACGUUGUUCGGAAUCAUUGGGCUUAAAGGGCGCGUAGGCGGGCUGGCCAGUCCGGGGUGAAAGCCCACGGCUCAACCGUGGAAGUGCCUUGGAUACUGCCAGUCUCGAGGGAGGUAGGGGCGUGCGGAACUUCCGGUGGAGCGGCGAAAUGCGUAGAUAUCGGAAGGAACACCGGUGGCGAAAGCGGCGCGCUGGACCUCUUCUGACGCUGAGGCGCGAAAGCCAGGGGAGCAAACGGG
rnacentral:rRNA from 1 species